rnacentral:rRNA from 1 species
AUUGAACGCUGGCGGCAUGCCUUACACAUGCAAGUCGAACGGCAGCGGGCCCUUCGGGGUGCCGGCGAGUGGCGAACGGGUGAGUAAUGCAUCGGAACGUACCCGGGAGAGGGGGAUAACCGGCCGAAAGGCUGGCUAAUACCGCAUGAACUCGGAAGAGCAAAGCGGGGGACCUUCGGGCCUCGCGCUCUCGGAGCGGCCGAUGUCCGAUUAGGCUAGUUGGUGGGGUAAAGGCCCACCAAGGCGACGAUCGGUAGCGGGUCUGAGAGGACGAUCCGCCACACUGGACUGAGACACGGCCCAGACUCCUACGGGAGGCAGCAGUGGGGAAUCUUGGACAAUGGGCGCAAGCCUGAUCCAGCAAUGCCGCGUGGGUGAAGAAGGCCUUCGGGUUGUAAAGCCCUUUCGGCGGGGAAGAAAUCGGUCAGGCGAAUAGUCUGGCUGGAUGACGGUACCCGCAGAAGAAGCACCGGCUAACUACGUG